UACGGAGGGUGCAAGCGUUAUCCGGAUUCACUGGGUUUAAAGGGUGCGUAGGAGGGCAGGUAAGUCAGUGGUGAAAUCCCCGAGCUUAACUUGGGAACUGCCGUUGAUACUAUCUGUCUUGAAUGUUGUGGAGGUAAGCGGAAUAUGUCAUGUAGCGGUGAAAUGCUUAGAUAUGACAUAGAACACCAAUUGCGAAGGCAGCUUGCUACAGGGGCAUUGACACUGAGGCACGAAAGCGUGGGGAUCAAACAGG
rnacentral:rRNA from 1 species